rnacentral:rRNA from 1 species
UACGAAGGGUGCAAGCGUUAAUCGGAAUUACUGGGCGUAAAGCGCACGUAGGCGGAUUUGUAAGUCAGGGGUGAAAUCCCGGGGCUCAACCUCGGAACUGCCUUUGAUACUGCAAGUCUUGAGUCCGGAAGAGGUGAGUGGAAUUCCUAGUGUAGAGGUGAAAUUCGUAGAUAUUAGGAAGAACACCAGUGGCGAAGGCGGCUCACUGGUCCGGUACUGACGCUGAGGUGCGAAAGCGUGGGGAGCAAACAGG